GACGAACGCUGGCGGCGUGCUUAACACAUGCCAGUCGAACGGAAAGGCCCUGCUUUUGUGGGGUGCUCGAGUGGCGAACGGGUGAGUAACACGUGAGUAACCUGCCCUUGACUUUGGGAUAACUUCAGGAAACUGGGGCUAAUACCGGAUAGGAGCUCCUGCUGCAUGGUGGGGGUUGGAAAGUUUCGGCGGUUGGGGAUGGACUCGCGGCUUAUCAGCUUGUUGGUGGGGUAGUGGCUUACCAAGGCUUUGACGGGUAGCCGGCCUGAGAGGGUGACCGGCCACAUUGGGACUGAGAUACGGCCCAGACUCCUACGGGAGGCAGCAGUGGGGAAUAUUGCACAUUGGGCGGAAGCCUGAUGCAGCAACGCCGCGUGCGGGAUGACGGCCUUCGGGUUGUAAACCGCUUUCGCCUGUGACGAAGCGUGAGUGACGGUAAUGGGUAAAGAAGCACCGGCUAACUACGU
rnacentral:rRNA from 1 species